AGCCGUUGGCAGCUCAGCUUCUUGGCUUUGUUGGGCGGAAGACGUAAUGUCUGCUCACCCUCUGCCUUUAAGUGUGACUAAUGAACCAACAACUAAAUUGUCGUCCGGUUCACAGGCCGUAAAUUGCCGUUUCGUACAAAUACGUUUCCGCAUGCUGUAAACAACUGUCUUUAUCGUCAACUCUGCGUCUCCCUUGCUAAUACUGGCGCGCGUGCCUCCCGUGGUUGUGCCACUAGAUGGUGCUAACAAGCUAGCUUUGGAUGCUAGUCACCUGCUCAGCCUCAGCUUCAGCAGACACGAGGGUUCUCUAAGGAAGUCGGGCCUAAUGCUAGAGCUCUGCAUGAUUGGGGGCAGCAGUGGCUCGAGAGGUACCAAAGAGCAGUCACCCACCAAUCAUUCGGUUCGAAUUCUGGCUGUGGUCAUGCAUCAAAGUGUCCUUGGGAUUGUCCUUGGGCACGCCACUGAAUCCCAAGUUGCUGGUCAGUAAUGUUUGUGUUUUAUGUUCAAACACUGAUGCAUUGCAUGUUGUCCUUAUUUACAUAUACAAAUGCAGAUAAAUGCAUUUGUGCAAUUUUCAGGCCAUCUGUUGUUUCUGUUCAUUGUGAUAUGUGCUAAUGUUAAAAUACACAUAGCAUAAUUGUGAAUAUUUGCAUUAGCAUGCCUUUGUCUGGAACUGAUUGCAUUGUAUCUUUUAGGUGGUGCAAGUUUGGCACUUGACUUGUUUGACACAAGCACACACCACAUGCACACAUACGCACACACUUGCACCCAUGUCUGUGUUGUCCUUGCACCAGUUUGGUUUGGCAUAUUGAGAAUGUGGCAUAUGCAGACUGUGAAGGAGGCAUGUCAGCAGUCCUGUAAUCUGUAAUGUCAUAGCUGGUGUUAAAGUAUUGCAGGUUUUUUUUUGUUUUGCAAAGUUGUGUUUUUUCAGCGUUUUGGUCAGGAAAUAAAAUAAAUAUAACACAGAACGUGCACUACAUUAUACAAUUACAAUCACAUUAAAAUGUUAUCAUUUUACUAUGUUUUAAUAUAUUUAGGAUUAUUUUGGAAAUAUUGAAAAGAAAAAAGAAAUGAAUGAAUAUUCUUGGCCUUAUGUCCAGUGCUAAAGUAAAUAAGACUGCAUUAAUGUUGAGUUCAUUACAGAAACAUGUUAUUACCACAGACAUCUUCUCAUUUCACAUCUCGUUUUGAAAUGUACAUGCAGCUUUGUGCACGGUAAAAUAGUGGUUAUAACAAUACCAUGAAAUGCAUCUUUGACUGAAUACGCUCUUAUGUAAGUGUUUGUGUUACUGAAUAUAGUAAAGUGUCAUGCGUUGAUGACUGGA